UCCCUCCUACUCUCCGAAACUCUAGCUCAACCUGUCCGACAGGCUGGAGCACUCGCGAGCGCUCCCGGCCCCAUCUGGCCCCAGCUCCCCCAGCACGCCCCAGCCCCCACCUCUCUUGGAAAGCCCAGCUUCAGUUGUUUUCUGGCUUCCCCGAGGAGACAGCGGGGCAGGUGACAAGCCCGCCUCGGAGGACACUCCGCAAAGGUGUCGCCGGCAGGGAGCCUCAUUGGACCCCUUUGGACUCAAACUUCCAGCUCGAAAGCCGCGUCUCGGGGCUGCAGGCGGGCGCGCUUCCGAGAACGCGGGCAGAAGGGCCGCUGGCUUCGCAGGAACCCGACCGUGUGGCGCCAGGCGUGAGCUGAAGGGCGCUUACAUCCCACACCCCAAGCUCCAGCGGUCCAUCCACACGCUGGAGCCGCCCGAAGGAACCGAGAGUCCUCCCUCGGUCUGGCGCGGAGGCCAGGGAACCGCGCGAUUGCGCUGCCUCUGGGGAGCGCCAAGGGCCCGCAGG
rnacentral:lncRNA from 1 species